AAGAUUUUAAGUUAUUAUAAACUAGUAACCUUCAAAGUUACAAAAAAAAGUUAAACCUUUUAUAUCUUA
rnacentral:tRNA from 1 species